rnacentral:rRNA from 1 species
ACCUAUCAUUCAGUUGGGGACUCUAGAGAGACUGCCGGUGAUAAACCGGAGGAAGGUGGGGAGUGACGUCAAAUCAUCAUGCCCCUUAUGGCCUGGGCUACAAACGUAAUACAAUGGCGUAUACAAAGGGAUGCGAAAGGGCGACCUGGAGCAAAACUCACAAAGUACGUCUCAGUUCAGAUUGGAGUCUGCAACUCGACUCCAUGAAGGCGGAAUCGCUAGUAAUCGCGGAUCAGCAUGCCGCGGUGAAUACGUUCUCGGGGGUUU